AGAAGAAGUUUAAGAACUGAAUCGUUUCUCUAUAGAGAAAAGGUUGAAAAGCAUUUUAAUUUGAGGAUAUUCCAACCUGAAGCAAGUUGUACCAAUGUUAAUGAUGGAAGACCCUGUUAGAAUACUGUGCAUACCUGGGGCUAAAACUUAAUCAAAGAUGACCUAUGCUGAAGUGGUGAGACUUGCUAUGCAUGUAACAGGAGACCAAACUGAGACCACCUUUGAUAUAAAGUGUAUAGAAAUGAAGAAAUCAAUGGGAGCCCCUGCCAAAAGGAGGAGUGUUGUUACAGAAUAUAAGUUCCCAAUGAAACAGGGUAUAGAUGAGUGAUCUAGUGUUUGAGUUCACUGAGGAUGUGGCUGUCAUCCUAACAAACAAAGGUUUACAUAGUAUUUAUCAGGCAACAUUCAGACAGUCAGAUAUUCUACAUUUCGGAUACGGAAUAAAGAAAUUGCUGUUGAGGAAGAGAGGAGUUUCUGUGACGAGAUUGAUACACAUAGAGCAUUUGGUAGUGUAUAAUAACAAAGAGUAAUGAAGUUGUGAGUAGUAUUUUAACCAAAAGAACAUCUACCCUAACAACAGUGAAUAUUAAAGCGAUCAGUUGCUGUAUGGUGAUAUUGAAAGAAAUCCAGGACCUACAAUGGUUUAUGAAGACUUCUUAGAGCUUGCCAUAUAAGUGUCAACAAUUUUAAAGAACAGGGAAAACUAUUAUUGCACUUAGUUUUGAGUUUUUGUUUUAUAUUUUACCACUAUGAUAGACUAAUGUUAAAUUCAGGAAUUGUAUUUUUCUGAUAUAUCUGUUUUGUAAUUACGUUUUACUCAUUUUUAAAUACGUUUGAGACGGUUUUUUUAUACCUUUUCCUACUUGAGUAGCAUUGACAACUAUUUUAAGUUUUUAGUAAGGUUACUUUCUUUGGGUUUUGUAUUUUAUAAUAUUAAGAUGUCAUACUUGAAUACCUUGUA